UGUUUUAUCCUCCAGUCCCCUAAUCAUCUUUGUUGCUCUUCUCUGCACUCUUUCUAGAGUCUCAACAUCUUUUUUACAUCGUGGCGACCAAAACUGGAUGCAAUAUUCCAAGUGUGGCCUUACCAAGGCAUUAUAAAGUGGCACUAACACUUCACGUGAUCUUGAUUCUAUCCCUCUGUUUAUGCAGCCCAGAACUGUGUUGGCUUUUUUAACAGCUGCUGCACACUGCUGGCUCAUAUCUAAAUGGUUGUCCACUAGGACUCCAAGAUCCCUCUCACAGAGGAUCUAGAAAGUCAAGGUUGGGCCUUUGAAGAAUGAAAAUUCAACGAGUUGUUUCUGAGAUCUGAACAUCAUUAUAAAACACUGAGUAAUGUGACAUGAAAUACCGACAUGAAGGCCAUUGAGUCAUCUAAGGUUCUGUCUGCACAUGUCCCACAGAGCUGAACAAAGGAGAAUUUCUUCUUUUAAGAUAUAUUUUCAGACCUCGGAAGGAUAGAAAGCUGAGUCAACCUUGAGCCGGUGAGAAUCAAAUUGCUGGCAGUCCAGAGAAUUAGCCUGCAAUACUGCAUUCUAACCACUGCACCACCACAUGUGUCAAGGAGGUUUAAAUCAAAUCAGAACCCUUAUUAUGCUAAAGGAUGAAGCAUAAACAAG